GAGAGAGGCUCGCUUCGCUCGCCAAUUAGUCUCAGUGAUUGGUUCCGACGUUCGACAUCGAAAGAGCUCAAAUCCGACCGUUAUUUCUUUCGAAAACCGUUCGGCGACCUGUUUCUUCCUUCUGUGAACGGUUUUUGGCCAAGCGACCGUUUUGGGAGACGCGUCGGCGUGAACAACUCGAUUCGAGCAGACUCGCCCACCCUUGAUUGAAACGUUAUUGAGAGGAUAGACGAGUGUUGGGGACGUCUGCGACUGAUAAUGAGCGACAGGAAGAGGUCUGGUUCGUGUAGCGGCGAAUUCACGGCGUGACAUUGGACUAGAUUGCUAAUUGUUGCAUAUGAGAUUGUUCUUGGUACUUCUAAUAAAGUAAGAAAGAUGUAGAAA